rnacentral:piRNA from 1 species
UAUUCUGUGUGUUCAUGUGUGAGUGUGUC